rnacentral:ncRNA from 1 species
UUGAAAGCGAAGAUAGGAAUGAGUAGCAGGUGUCUCCCUGUUUCAGAAAGCUGGUGGUUGAUGCGAACCAGUGCAAAGGCACGCUGUGAAUUACCUCCUGGAGCUGUCUCUGUGAACGUUAAGUAGCAGAGAACGGAUAAAACCGUUACGAAAUGAAGUGAAAAGCCAUUACUGUGGCUUUUAAUUAGGGUGGUACCGCGAGAUUGUCAUCACGUCCCUUUC